GAUGAAGAACGCAGCGAAAUGCGAUACUUGGUGUGAAUUGCAGAAUCCCGUGAACCAUCGAGUCUUUGAACGCAAGUUGCGCCCGAAGCCACUAGGCCGAGGGCACGCCUGCCUGGGCGUCACACGUCGUUGCCCCCCACCAUCUACUCCUUCGGGAUUGCGGGGGGCGGAUGAUGGCCUCCCGUGCGCCUAGCCGCGCGGUUGGCAUAAAUACCAAGUCCUCGGCGACGCACGCCACGACAAUCGGUGGUUGCGAAACCUCGGUUGCCCGUCGUGUGCGUUCGUCGCGCAUCGAGGGCUCGAAAAAAUGCUCGGCUCCGGCUCGGCUUUCAACGCGACCCCAGGUCAGGCGGGGUUACCCGCUGAGUUUAAGCAUAUCAAUAAGCGGAGGA
rnacentral:misc_RNA from 1 species